rnacentral:pre_miRNA from 1 species
AUGCCCGCUUGCCCUCGUGACUUUGGAAAAUGGCGGAAAAGUCAGGGGGGAAGUGGGCUGA